GACGAACCGUGCGAACGUUGUUCGGAAUCACUGGGCUUAAAGGGCGCGUAGGCGGCUCGCGAGGUCGGGGGUGAAAUCCCACAGCUUAACUGUGGAAGUGCCUUCGAUACCGGCGGGCUGGAGGAAGGUAGGGGUGCGCGGAACUUCUGGUGGAGCGGUGAAAUGCGUUGAUAUCAGAAGGAACGCCGGCGGCGAAAGCGGCGCACUGGACCUUUUCUGACGCUGAUGCGCGAAAGCCAGGGGAGCAAACGGG
rnacentral:rRNA from 1 species